GCAGAGGCGCGGAUGGUCGCUUCACGCCGGGAGCGUGAUGAGGAAAGUCCGGGCAACAUAGAGCAGCAUAUUUUCUAACGGAAAGCCGGCGGCGACGUCGGGGACAAUGUGACAGAAAACAACCGCCCGCAGGAUUAGCGCCGUUGAUGGCGCAGGAUCCGCAGGUAAGGGUGAAAAGGCGGGGUAAGAGCCCACCGCCCGUUCAUGGCGACAUGCGGGGUCAGCACAUCCUAUGCGUUGCAAGGCCAAGUAUACCGGUUCUCAAGGAUUGCUCGUCCGAUGCCGGAGGGUAGGCCGCUAAAGCAGGCGCGCAAGCGUCGGGCUCAGAUAAAUGACCGUCGGGAAUUAUCUUUCGGGAAAGGAUAGCAAUUUCGCAUUAUGCAACGUAUUAAACAGCCUUGACCUGAUAAUUCCUACAUAACCCGGCUUAUAACGCCUCUGCCCUU
rnacentral:RNase_P_RNA from 1 species